UAGGGAAUCUUCGGCAAUGGGGGCAACCCUGACCGAGCAACGCCGCGUGAGUGAAGAAGGUUUUCGGAUCGUAAAGCUCUGUUGUAAGAGAAGAACGUGUGUGAGAGUGGAAAGUUCACACAGUGACGGUAACUUACCAGAAAGGGACGGCUAACUACGUGCCAGCAGCCGCGGUAAUACGUAGGUCCCGAGCGUUGUCCGGAUUUAUUGGGCGUAAAGCGAGCGCAGGCGGUUUAAUAAGUCUGAAGUUAAAGGCAGUGGCUUAACCAUUGUUCGCUUUGGAAACUGUUAAACUUGAGUGCAGAAGGGGAGAGUGGAAUUCCAUGUGUGGCGGUGAAAUGCGUAGAUAUAUGGAGGAACACAGGUGGCGAAAGCGGCUCUCUGGUCUGUAACUGACGCUGAGGCUCGAAAGCGUGGGGAGCAAACAGG
rnacentral:rRNA from 1 species